rnacentral:rRNA from 1 species
GACGAACGCUGGCGGCGUGCCUAAUACAUGCAAGUUGAGCGCUGAAGGUUGGUACUUGUACCAACUGGAUGAGCAGCGAACGGGUGAGUAACGCGUGGGGAAUCUGCCUUUGAGCAGGGGACAACAUUUGGAAACGAAUGCUAAUACCGCAUAAAAACUUUAAACACAAGUUUUAAGUUUGAAAGAUGCAAUUGCAUCACUCAAAGAUGAUCCCGCGUUGUAUUAGCUAGUUGGUGAGGUAAAGGCUCACUAAGGCGAUGAUACAUAGCCGACCUGAGAGGGUGAUCGGCCACAUUGGGACUGAGACACGGCCCAAACUCCUACGGGAGGCAGCAGUAGGGAAUCUUCGGCAAUGGACGAAAGUCUGACCGAGCAACGCCGCGUGAGUGAAGAAGGUUUUCGGAUCGUAAAACUCUGUUGGUAGAGAAGAACGUUGGUGAGAGUGGAAAGCUCACCAAGUGACGGUAACUACCCAGAAAGGGACGGCUAACUACGUG